rnacentral:rRNA from 1 species
GGUUAAGCGACUAAGCGUACACGGUGGAUGCCCUGGCAGUCAGAGGCGAUGAAGGACGUGCUAAUCUGCGAUAAGCGUCGGUGAGGUGAUAUGAACCGUUAUAACCGGCGAUUUCCGAAUGGGGAAACCCAGUGUGUUUCGACACACUAUCAUUAACUGAAUCCAUAGGUUAAUGAGGCGAACCGGGGGAACUGAAACAUCUAAGUACCCCGAGGAAAAGAAAUCAACCGAGAUUCCCCCAGUAGCGGCGAGCGAACGGGGAGGAGCCCAGAGCCUGAAUCAGUGUGUGUGUUAGUGGAAGCGUCUGGAAAGGCGCGCGAUACAGGGUGACAGCCCCGUACACAAAAAUGCACAUACUGUGAGCUCGAUGAGUAGGGCGGGACACGUGGUAUCCUGUCUGAAUAUGGGGGGACCAUCCUCCAAGGCUAAAUACUCCUGACUGACCGAUAGUGAACCAGUACCGUGAGGGAAAGGCGAAAAGAACCCCGGCGAGGGGAGUGAAAAAGAACCUGAAACCGUGUACGUACAAGCAGUGGGAGCCUCUUAAUGGGGUGACUGCGUACCUUUUGUAUAAUGGGUCAGCGACUUAUAUUCUGUAGCAAGGUUAACCGAAUAGGGGAGCCGAAGGGAAACCGAGUCUUAACUGGGCGUUAAGUUGCAGGGUAUAGACCCGAAACCCGGUGAUCUAGCCAUGGGCAGGUUGAAGGUUGGGUAACACUAACUGGAGGACCGAACCGACUAAUGUUGAAAAAUUAGCGGAUGACUUGUGGCUGGGGGUGAAAGGCCAAUCAAACCGGGAGAUAGCUGGUUCUCCCCGAAAGCUAUUUAGGUAGCGCCUCGUGAAUUCAUCUCCGGGGGUAGAGCACUGUUUCGGCAAGGGGGUCAUCCCGACUUACCAACCCGAUGCAAACUGCGAAUACCGGAGAAUGUUAUCACGGGAGACACACGGCGGGUGCUAACGUCCGUCGUGAAGAGGGAAACAACCCAGACCGCCAGCUAAGGUCCCAAAGUCAUGGUUAAGUGGGAAACGAUGUGGGAAGGCCCAGACAGCCAGGAUGUUGGCUUAGAAGCAGCCAUCAUUUAAAGAAAGCGUAAUAGCUCACUGGUCGAGUCGGCCUGCGCGGAAGAUGUAACGGGGCUAAACCAUGCACCGAAGCUGCGGCAGCGACACUAUGUGUUGUUGGGUAGGGGAGCGUUCUGUAAGCCUGUGAAGGUGGCCUGUGAGGGUUGCUGGAGGUAUCAGAAGUGCGAAUGCUGACAUAAGUAACGAUAAAGCGGGUGAAAAGCCCGCUCGCCGGAAGACCAAGGGUUCCUGUCCAACGUUAAUCGGGGCAGGGUGAGUCGACCCCUAAGGCGAGGCCGAAAGGCGUAGUCGAUGGGAAACAGGUUAAUAUUCCUGUACUUGGUGUUACUGCGAAGGGGGGACGGAGAAGGCUAUGUUGGCCGGGCGACGGUUGUCCCGG